rnacentral:rRNA from 1 species
AUUGAACGCUGGCGGCAUGCCUUACACAUGCAAGUCGAACGGCAGCACGGGUGCUUGCACCUGGUGGCGAGUGGCGAACGGGUGAGUAAUACAUCGGAACAUGUCCUGUAGUGGGGGAUAGCCCGGCGAAAGCCGGAUUAAUACCGCAUACGAUCUACGGAUGAAAGCGGGGGACCUUCGGGCCUCGCGCUAUAGGGUUGGCCGAUCGCUGAUUAGCUAGUUGGUGGGGUAAAGGCCUACCAAGGCGACGAUCAGUAGCUGGUCUGAGAGGACGACCAGCCACACUGGGACUGAGACACGGCCCAGACUCCUACGGGAGGCAGCAGUGGGGAAUUUUGGACAAUGGGCGAAAGCCUGAUCCAGCAAUGCCGCGUGUGUGAAGAAGGCCUUCGGGUUGUAAAGCACUUUUGUCCGGAAAGAAAUCCUUGGCCCUAAUACGGUCGGGGGAUGACGGUACCGGAAGAAUAAGCACCGGCUAACUACGU